rnacentral:lncRNA from 1 species
CUCUGGAAAACAAUGCUAAUUGCUUCAAAGAAGUAUUAGCAUGUGUUGUAUUUUGAAGCUACCCUAGCCUUAUGACUCCCAAGUGGCACAGCAUCUCAGUGCUAGAGGCGUCACUACAAACACCCAUGUUCAAAUCCAGACUGCGUUUCUAUCAAACUGCUCUGUCAGAAACAACUUGAAGCACUGCCUCAGAUGGAAAUGGCAAGGGCCGUUGCACUCCAGACUGGGACUCAUCAACGCAAACAGCAGGGCCAGGAGGGGUGAAAUGGCUGGCAGCCUUCCAGCUACCACAGAACUCUUGUACUUCAUCCACUAUCGGUCUGCCUCCAUCACCACCAGCAUCUUCAAAUGGAACUAGGACUUUGUCAGUGGACAAUGGGUCCUCAGAUUCAAGGUUCUCAAUGGCUGGGUUCUCAGCUCCUCACUGUAACUGUCAGAAUCUGAUUCCUGACUUUCAGACUCAUUGUCAGAAUUUUUUUACAUCUCCAGAAUUUCCCAAUUUUGUGAGUUGUCUCCUUUUGAAAGGCAUUGCUAAUGCUACAGCUUCUCAUUAGCUACAUACAUAAACAA